rnacentral:rRNA from 1 species
GAUGAACGCUAGCUACAGGCUUAACACAUGCAAGUCGAGGGGAAACGAUAUUGGAAGCUUGCUUCCGAUAGGCGUCGACCGGCGCACGGGUGAGUAACGCGUAUCCAACCUGCCCAUCACUUGGGGAUAACCUUGCGAAAGUAAGACUAAUACCCAAUGACGUCUCUAGAAGACAUCUGAAGGAGAUUAAAGAUUUAUCGGUUGUCGAUGGGGAUGCGUUCCAUUAGGCAGUUGGCGGGGUAACGGCCCACCAAACCAACGAUGGAUAGGGGUUCUGAGAGGAAGGUCCCCCACAUUGGAACUGAGACACGGUCCAAACUCCUACGGGAGGCAGCAGUGAGGAAUAUUGGUCAAUGGACGAGAGUCUGAACCAGCCAAGUAGCGUGCAGGAUGACGGCCCUAUGGGUUGUAAACUGCUUUUAUAAGGGAAUAAAGUGGGAGUCGUGACUCUUUUUGCAUGUACCUUAUGAAUAAGGACCGGCUAAUUCCGUG